rnacentral:rRNA from 1 species
GAGUAGCGAAAGACGGGUGAGAAACCCGUCCUCCGGAAGACCAAGGGUUCCAGGGCCAGGCUAAUCCGCCCUGGGUAAGUCGGGACCUAAGGCGAGGCCGACAGGCGUAGUCGAUGGACAACGGGUUGAUAUUCCCGUACCGGCGAAGAACCGCAAGAGCUAAUCCCGUAAUGCUAAGAGCCCGAAUCCUUUUCCUGAUCCCUUCGGGGUGAUGGUUGAGGGCUAGCGCUCGACCCUACGCGGGUGCGGCUAGCGUAUUAACAGGUGUGACGCAGGAAGGUAGCUGAGCCAGGCGAUGGUUGUCCUGGUGUAAGGGUGUAGGGCUCGAGAUAGGCAAAUCCGUCUCGUGCAUGCCUGAGACCCGACGCGUAGCCCCAUGGGCGAAAUCAGUGAUCCUAUGCUGCCAAGAAAAGCAUCGACGCGAGGUUCUAGCUGCCCGUACCCCAAACCGACUCAGGUGGUCAGGUAGAGAAUACUAAGGAGAUCGAGAGAAUCGUGGUUAAGGAACUCGGCAAAAUGCCCCCGUAACUUAGGGAGAAGGGGGGCCGGAUCCGUGACGAAAUUUACUUUUUGAGCGGUGAAGGCCGCAGAGACCAGUGGGAAGCGACUGUUUACUAAAAACACAGGGCUCUGCGAAGUCGCAAGACGACGUAUAGGGUCUGACGCCUGCCCGGUGCCGGAAGGUUAAGAGGAGAGGUGAGAGCUUUGAAUCGAAGCCCCGGUAAACGGCGGCCGUAACGAUAACGGUCCUAAGGUAGCGAAAUUCCUUGUCGGGU